rnacentral:rRNA from 1 species
AUUGAACGCUGGCGGCAUGCCUUACACAUGCAAGUCGAACGGUAACGGGCCUUCGGGUGCCGACGAGUGGCGAACGGGUGAGUAAUGCAUCGGAACGUACCUUUCAGUGGGGGAUAACGUAGCGAAAGUUACGCUAAUACCGCAUAUUCUGUGAGCAGGAAAGCAGGGGAACGCAAGACCUUGCGCUGAUUGAGCGGCCGAUGUCAGAUUAGCUAGUUGGUGAGGUAAAGGCUCACCAAGGCGACGAUCUGUAGCGGGUCUGAGAGGAUGAUCCGCCACACUGGAACUGAGACACGGUCCAGACUCCUACGGGAGGCAGCAGUGGGGAAUUUUGGACAAUGGGGGCAACCCUGAUCCAGCCAUGCCGCGUGAGUGAAGAAGGCCUUCGGGUUGUAAAGCUCUUUCGGUCGGGAAGAAAUCGCAUGGGUCAAUACCCUGUGCGGAUGACGGUACCGGCAUAAGAAGCACCGGCUAACUACGUGCCAGCCGCCGCCGUAAUAC